GAUGAAGAACGUAGCGAAAUGCGAUAAGUAAUGUGAAUUGCAGAAUUCAGUGAAUCAUCGAAUCUUUGAACGCACAUUGCGCCCAUUAGUAUUCUAGUGGGCAUGCCUGUUCGAGCGUCAUUAAGUCCACUUAAGCCCUGCUUAGUGUUGGGAGACUGCUCCAGCGGUGCUACCCUGUAGCUACCCUGCAGCUCCUCAAAGACAGCGGCGGAGUUGUGGUAUCCUCUGAGCUUAGUAACUUGUUCUAGCUUUCGAGUACACCACUUCCCCUGCCGUAAAACCCUUAAUUUUUAAUGGUUGACCUCGGAUCAGGUAGGAAUACACGCUGAACUUAAGCAUAUCAAUAAGCGGAGGA
rnacentral:misc_RNA from 1 species